rnacentral:rRNA from 1 species
AUUGAACGCUGGCGGCAGGCCUAACACAUGCAAGUCGAGCGGAUGAAGGGAGCUUGCUCCUGGAUUCAGCGGCGGACGGGGGAGUAAUGCCUAGGAAUCGGCCUGGGAGUGGGGGAUAACGUCCGGAAACGGGCGCUAAUACCGCAUACGUCCUGAGGGAGAAAGUGGGGGAGCUUCGGACCUCACGCUAUCAGAUGAGCCUAGGUCGGAUUAGCUAGUUGGUGGGGUAAAGGCCAACCAAGGCGACGAUCCGUAACUGGUCUGAGAGGAUGAGCAGUCACACUGGAACUGAGACACGGUCCAGACUCCUACGGGAGGCAGCAGUGGGGAAUAUUGGACAAUGGGCGAAGGCCUGAUGCAGCCAUGCCGCGUGUGUGAAGAAGGUCUUCGGAUUGUAAAGCACUUUAAGUUGGGAGGAAGGGCAGUAAGUUAAUACCUUGCUGUUUUGACGUUACCAACAGAAUAAGCACCGGCUAACUUCGUG